rnacentral:rRNA from 1 species
UACGGAGGGAGCUAGCGUUGUUCGGAAUUACUGGGCGUAAAGCGCACGUAGGCGGCUUUGUAAGUUAGAGGUGAAAGCCCGGGGCUCAACUCCGGAACUGCCUUUAAGACUGCAUCGCUUGAAUCCGGGAGAGGUGAGUGGAAUUCCGAGUGUAGAGGUGAAAUUCGUAGAGAUGUGGAGGAACACCAGUGGCGAAGGCGACUCUUUGGCCUGUAACUGACGCUGAGGCGCGAAAGCGUGGGGAGCAAACAGG